CAGGACGAACGCUGGCGGCGUGCCUAACACAUGCAAGUCGAACGGGACCAGGGGCAACUCUGGUUCAGUGGCGGACGGGUGCGUAACACGUGAGGAACAUGACCUUGGCGGGGGAUAGCCGGCCCAACGGCCGGGUAAUACCGCGUACGACCA
rnacentral:rRNA from 1 species